UAUGUUUUGGGGUUGUUUAUGGGUUAAUAGAAUACGGUUAAAGAGUAUAUGAGUGAAAUUUAUUUGAUUCCUAGAGAGAAGUAGUACUGUGUAGGAAAGUUUAUUUAUUAGUUUAUAAAAUUAGGUUGUUUAGUACCUUUUGUAUUAGGGUUGAUUAAUGGGGUUUGACCUUAGAUUAAUUCUCGAUUAAUCUCGGGCUAUUUUUUCUUAUUUUAUUCUCGUUGUAUAGAGUUGGAUAGGAGAUUAUAGGUAUGAAAUAUUAUUCAAGUUGUUUUUUAUCUAGUUCUUUAAGAAAUUUAAUUGUUGUUAUUAGUGUUAGGACGAUGAACAGGGAUUAGCUUGUUUAUAGUUUAUAUGGGGUAGGUUAUUUUUUUUGUUUGUUGAGUUGAUAGUGCUAAUUUUUAUGGAGUUAUUAUUGGGCAGAUGUUUUAAAUUAUUUUUUGUUUUUAUGUUUUUAUUAAGGUUAUUUUAUUAAUUUUAAAUGAUGUGAAAUAAUGAUUAGAUUAGUAAUAUUUUAUUUGGGGCUUAAGUUUAAACUGGGUUUAGGUUUUGGGCUGAAGGUUUCUUAUUGUGUAUUAAAAUUAGAAUUGAUGAAUUAGGCAAAUUUAAUCUCUGACUGUUUAGCAAAAACAUUGUUUUUUGUUGGGGUAAAAAAUAAGUUCUGUCCACUGCUAUUGGGUGAAGGGCUGCAGUAUUUUGACUGUAUGAAGGUAGCAUAAUCAUUAGCCUUUUAAUUAGGGGCUGGUAUGAAGGUGAAACAGGGAUUUGCUGUUUUUGUUCUAUUUGUUGAAUUUUAUUUUCAUGUGAAAAAUCAUGAUUUUAUUAGUGGGACAAGAAGACCCUAAUAAGUUUUAUCUUUUUAAAUAAUGAGUGUAUAGGUUUAAUUAGUGUGAUUUAUUUUUAGGGGUUUGACUGGGGCGGUUGUUUAACUGGAACAUGAAUUAAUUUUUAACUUUAUUUGGCGCGGAAUUAGACCUAGGGUGUUUAGAUGAGAGUGAAACUACUGUAGGGAUAACAGCGUGAUUUUAUUUAAGAGUUCUAAUUGACAAUAAAGUUUGCGACCUCGAUGUUGGAUUAAGAAGAGCACUGGCGC
rnacentral:rRNA from 1 species